rnacentral:lncRNA from 1 species
GUAUCUCGUGGGGGCUAUCUCCGUGGAGGUCCCCAAUUCAAAAGGGAUCAUGAAGAUCUUGCGUGUCAACUCUGAAGCCCUGCAGCACGUGCCUAGCCAGCUGCAAGACCUUUUCGGAGGAGCCACCAGCAGGCUUCCUGAAGGCCAGGCUGCAGCUCUCAGGUGUCUGCCAUUGUCUCAGUCCCUGCCCCGGGUCUGCCACUUGGCACACAAUAGGCCUUGUACAUAUUUGUCAGAUGAGUGAAGAGUGAGGUCACUCACUACUGCUCCGGGUACACGGCCGAGCUAGACAGCCACAGUUCAGAGAUCCUUUGAGUCUUUGAGCCAAAAGUAUUUUGAGCCAAUCCCAACUUCCCCCUGAAUGCCAUCCCCGGAACGAUACUGAAGAGGUAUACCAGGAAAGCCCUGUGAUUAUGUGAAGGUGGACAUUAUGUGUCUCCACAGGCCUGCAGCCAAGCUGAAAACAGUUCUCAUGACUAUGUCUCAUCCCGGAAAGAAGAUCCUUCAUGGCAUGGUCGCUUUCAUCUCAUCAUGAGCUGAGUGUCCAAUACUUACUGAGAUGUGGUCCCCACGUUAAAGAACUUUAGAAAUUGUAAGGCCGCGUGCACCCCUGCCCAUACCUUGAUGUUCCAACCCCCUUGGGUACCAAGAAG